ACCUGUGUGCCUCAGCUCAGGGCUCCAGUUCUUUCCUGCUUCUACAAACAAAAACCUCUGCUUGGUUUGUCAGAAUCUCCUUCACUGUAACUUAAGCACAUUAUUUUUUGCCUACCCACGGUAGAAAUAAAGAUGUAUUUCUUCUUUUUUUCUUGAUAACGUUCUUGAAUUUAUCCUCCCUUCUCUAGUCAGAACAGAGCCUCUUCUUCUGCAUGCCUCUCCUUUCCUUCAUGUGGGAUUUUGAAUUUGUCAGUACUGAUUUUCAUCCUACCUUUUUUCAGGACAUGUCUCCAAUUUUUUGAGAGUAUUUUGUAUUCAGUUAUGGUCCAACAUGGAGCAGCUUGCCCCAUGUUAGAGUUAUCUGUGAAUCUAAUGUGUAUUUUCUAUACCAGUAAUAAAAUUGCUGGUGAAGAUGCUGAAGGGUGCAGGACUCUGUAAGGUCAUCUUUUGCAGACUAAAUACUUCCAGUCUUGCCAUGAGAAACCACCAUGAGAAUGCAUGUCUGUGCACAUCCAGGAGGCAAGAGGAGGAAUAACCCACAGCUGUGCCUCUCCUCCCAGGCUGUCAUUCCUCAUCUGGGCACAGCAGCAGCACAGCCAGUCCCUGGGCACAGGGCUCGAGCAUCAUUUUGUUCUUCGCGCUGCACUUGACACAUGUAUUUUCCAAAGGGAAUAUACUUUUCUGUGACAAGAGAGAGGGAAGUCAUGGGAAAGUUUCAUUUCUUUGGCAAAACAGCAAUUUCAUGAGAAAUUUCAGGAAACAUAAAAAUAUUGAUUUUGUCUCUGGUUGUCGAUUUUCAAAAUUAAUAUUUUUUUCACUUAGGUUUUUCCUUUCCACUCCCUUCUCUUAUAACCUUCCCUCAACUUUUCCCUCAUCCGCUUGCCAGGGAAAGUAUAAUAUUUAGAUAUUCUUUCCAAAUCUUCCUUUUUUCCAUUGUCUAACCUUUGAAAACUUCAAUUUGGAGAAGAUAGGGAAUGGAAAAGAAAGAAGAAAAAAAACUGUGAAAACAAAAAUGCUGAUUUUCUGGGACGUGUGUGGAGCCAUGCUUGUGCAGAGACACAUGCGGGAGAGUCCUGGUUAAGAAAAAAAUAACAAUAAUAUCACCCAGUGGCCAAGAGGAAGCAACAGGGAAGAAGGGAAAACAAUGUAAAAACUUCCGUGGUUUGCAGAAAACACACAUUAAAAGGUGGGGAAGGGGAGGUGUUCUGCUCUGACCUUGCAGUGCAUAAACACACCCUCAGUUUGGAAAGGGCUGAUAUUCUACCUUCUCUUCCCCUUUGUUGCUCUGAUGAGGUUCUUCUAAUGGGCUGUAUCUGAUGGGCUGUAUCUCCUCAGUCUGGUUCUGCAUCCCACAGGGUGCCCGUGAUGCAGGGACAGGUCUCAGGCAUAUUUUGUCUCCCAUCUCUGUAGGAUCAUACCACAGUAUAAAAGCCACUCUUAAACCUUUUUCUUUCCUCCUCCCUCUUUUUUUUUUUUUUAUUCUUUUUUACUGUUUCAUUCAAAAAGCCAAGAAAGAACUGACUACAGAAGGAAAAAGGGAUAAACAACCCUCCUAUAAAUUUAAAAAACAGGACUAUUACUUAGGGAGGGGGCACAAGAUAUGACUCAGAAAGGGGCUGCUGACAGGAGCCCGGCUGCCCAACAUGUUGUCCCGAGAGCAGCAGGGAUGCUAAUCUCACCCCCCAGAUAUCCCUGCUCCCUGAUGAAGGUGGUGAUUAAGGGCUUCAUUUUCAGCAGCCCUACACAAAUAGGCUCCCAGCCACUUGUCUGAGAGCAGAAAAUGGACAACUGAUGGCACCACGUCACAGGGGCUGGUUUCCCACACAGAUGUGUGUGCAGCUAACAUCUCAGCAGUGAUUUCAGGGUUUGGGGGAUGCCCUUGUCGCUUCGAAAGUGAAGUGAGACUUUACAAAGACCCAGUUUGCAUCAAGGCAGGAUGCUGGGAUGGGCUGUGUCUUUUUCUAGGGCAGUUUGUGAGCUUGGUGUCUCCAAGGAGUAUUUUUCCAUAUCCCCAUGACCUUUACCCUUCCACAGGCUCCAGUAGAAGCUAUUUAUGGGUUAUUUUUCUUCCUUUUUCCUUCCUUUUAUGCUCUUUAGAGAAUGUCCUAACUAGAAACGUUUUCUGGAUAAAAGUAUAAGAUGAAUGUGAACUGAGAAGCUACAACACAAGCUUCCCUGUGCUGAUUUGCAUUGAGGCUUGUCUCAAAAAAAAAAAAAAAAAAAUCAGAAAAGGGCAGCUCCAUCUUCCCAAUGGAUGGAAAUGCCUUCCCUGUCCCUGUUCUGCAAAAUGGGAAGUGAGGAGGCACAUCCUCACAUGCGGGGGCAAGGAUGGGAGAGGGAUGGGAAGGGAACAUCACGGGAAGGGAUUUAAUGCUCUGACUCACUGUCAGUAUCUUUGGAGGCAGCGUUUUGCUCAGACAGGAGUGCACAAACACAGUGGCUUUUCUCUGCAAGCCCUGCAAGUGCUGAGGCACCGAGCUGCUUCUCUAGACGUGUGAAUGCUGAUUCAGGUCAUGGUCACAGAUGUGGGUCCUAGGUGAGCUCUGUUGGUAAAAUGUUAAGUAAAAUGAUUUUAUCCCAUUUCUAUCCAAUUUUAUCCAUGUAUAUAACUGUUUCUUCCUUCAGAACCUGUUCUAAAGCCAUUUCAUACUUUUAUUUAUUUCAUUUUUUCAAACCAUUCCACCAUGUAUGUGAUACGUUUGCUCUUGUUUCAUCCAGCCUGACUAACCUGGCUUCCUUGAGGAUCCUUGCUACUGGAAACAUGAUUUCACGUGCUCCAGUGGAGAUCAUUUGUUCUUCUUCUUCAUCCUCUCAUCCCAGUGCAUUUGCUGGCUCUAAAACAACAACAUUUUGGACUUUUAGUUUAGAGUGCAGGAGAGGGCCAUGCUGCGAUUCCGUGAUUCACUGACCCUAGCCCUCUGGAGAAAGUGCAACUGCUGUGGUGGGCCUGCAGCUCCUCACACACCUCCCUGAGCUUUCCUGGUGGAAGUUCCUAAACCUGAGCCACAGCAACAGUUUUCAGAUGGGAAGACCAAAGCAGCGUUUGGAAACAUCAUUUCCCAAGCUCCUGUAGGAAGUCUGCAUGGGAGCUGGGAAUGAAGCCCUGACCUUUUGAGCCAUCCAGGUAAGUAUCUUUCGUACAAGAGCAUCCUUCCUACCAGCCCUCAAAAAGUAAUUACAAAAGACUUGUGUGCUUCUGUGAGCGGGGUGGUGCCUUCCUUACACAGAUCUCAUCAUCUGGCCUUUGGCUACCCAGCCAUUUGGGGCGCUCAGAAAAUGGCUGUUACUAAAGAGAGUGUUGCUAAGUUUUGUGAUUUUCACAUUUACGUUUUUUUUUGUUGUCACUGUUUGUUUUGUUUUAAAAACCCCGCUCCCAGAUGCAGAAGCUUCCCUUCUGUUUAAAUAAAAGUUUCCAGUUGUCACAGCUGUAUAAAACAUCAAGCACCACUCCUCGCAGCACGGA